rnacentral:rRNA from 1 species
CCUACGGGUGGCAGCAGUAGGGAAUCUUCCACAAUGGGCGAAAGCCUGAUGGAGCAACGCCGCGUGGGUGAAGAAGGUCUUCGGAUCGUAAAACCCUGUUGUUAGAGAAGAAAGUGCGUGCGCGUAACUGUUCACGUUUCGACGGUAUCUAACCAGAACGCCACGGGUAACUCCGUGCAAGCAGCUGCGGUAAUACGAAGGUGGCAAGCGUUCUCCGGCUUUAUUGGGCUUCAAAGGAACGCAGGCGGUCUUUUAAGUCUGAUGUGAAAGCCUUCGGCUUAACCGGAGUAGUGCAUUGGAAACUGGGAGACUUGAGUGCAGAUGAGGAGAGUGGAACUCCAUGGGUAGCGGUGAAAUGCGUAGAUAUAGGGAAGAACACCAGUGGCGAAGGCGGCUCUCUGGUCUGUAACUGACGCUGAGGUUCGAAAGCGUGGGUAGCAAACAGGAUUAGAUACCCGGGUAGUC